AAUCCUUGCGGCCGAAUAUCCAAGGUUUCCAGAGUAAAGCUGAUCUGCUCUGGGUAAGUCGGGGCCUAAGGAGAGGCAGAGAUGCGUAUCCGAUGGACAGCAGGUUUAAGAUUCCUGCACCCCUUGUUAUCAGAACUGCGGGGACACGGGAAGGGAAGCAGAGCCGGGAAUGGAAAGCCCGGUGCAAGCGAAGUAGUCGCAGGGUUGGAAAAUCCGCCCUGCAUGAGACGAAGGCGUGAUGCGGAGCGAAAUGAAGUAGUGAAGCUGCGGCCCCUUCCUGUCGAGAAAAGCCGCUAUCGUGUAGCAAGGGCCCGUACCGUAAACCGACACAGGUGGAUGAGGAGAGGAUCCUAAGGCCGGCGGGAGAAGUGUUGUUAAGGAACUCGGCAAAAUGACUCCGUAACUUCGGGAGAAGGAGUGCUGCGCAAGCAGCCGCAGAGAAAUGGCCCAAGCAACUGUUUAGCAAAAACACAGGUCUAUGCGAAACCGAAAGGUGAGGUAUAUGGGCUGACGCCUGCCCGGUGCUGGAAGGUUAAGGGGAGAGGUUAGCGCAAGCGAAGCUUUGAACUUAAGCCCCAGUAAACGGCGGCCGUAACUAUAACGGUCCUAAGGUAGCGAAAUUCCUUGUCGGGUAAGUUCCGACCCGCACGAAAGGCGUAAUGAUUUGGGCACUGUCUCAACAACACACCCGGUGAAAUUGAAAUACCAGUGAAGAUGCUGGUUACCCGCGCCAGGACGGAAAGACCCCAUGGAGCUUUACUCCAGCCUGAUACUGGGAUUCGGUAUUGCAUGUACAGGAUAGGUGGGAGGCUAAGAACUCAUGGCGCCAGCCGUGAGGGAGCCGGUGUUGGGAUACCACCCCUGCAGUACUGGGUUUCUAACCUGCGCCCGUGACCCGGGCGGGGGACAAUGUCAGGCGGGGAGUUUGACUGGGGCGGUCGCCUCCGAAAGGGUAUCGGAGGCGCUCAAAGGUCUCCUCAGGAUGGUUGGAAACCAUCCAGAGAGUGCAAAGGCAGAAGGAGGCUUGACUGCGACACCGACGGGUGGAGCAGGUACGAAAGUAGGACUUAGUGAUCCGGUGGUAUAAAGUGGGAUUGCCAUCGCUCAACGGAUAAAAGCUACCCUGGGGAUAACAGGCUUAUCACUCCCAAGAGUUCACAUCGACGGAGUGGUUUGGCACCUCGAUGUCGGCUCAUCGCAUCCUGGAGCUGGAGCAGGUUCCAAGGGUUGGGCUGUUCGCCCAUUAAAGCGGUACGCGAGCUGGGUUCAGAACGUCGUGAGACAGUUCGGUCCCUAUCCGGCGCGGGCGCAGGAUAUCUGAGAGGAGCUGUCCUUAGUACGAGAGGACCGGGAUGGACCGUCCGCUGGUGGACCGGUUGUCAUGCCAAUGGCACGGCCGGGUAGCCAAGACGGGAAGGGAUAAACGCUGAAGGCAUCUAAGCGUGAAGCCCCCCUCAAGAUGAGAUAUCCAUACUCGAAAGAGUGAGAGACCCCUUAGAGACGAUGAGGUAGAUAGGGCAGAGAUGGAAGCACAGCGAUGUGUGGAGUUGACUGUUACUAAUCGGUCGAAAGCUUGACCU
rnacentral:rRNA from 1 species